UAUUUAACCAUGGCUACUACUUCUCAUAUGUCUCUCCCCUUCCUCCUCCUUGCCCUUGUAGCACUCACACCUUCCACCACCUCAGCUGCUGCAUCCCCAAACCCAAACGUAUUAAACUUACACGAACUUUUCCAACUAUUUGGAUUUCCGCUCGGCCUUAUACCUGAUCCCAUCGACUCUUUCACUAUAACCCCUUCAGGCCUUUUGCCAUCCACCUUCGACUUCACCAUCCGCUUUAAGGAACCAUGUUACGUACAGUUCGUAUCCCUCAAUUACUAUAACCCGGUGUUUACCGGAAAGAUCACCUUCGGUAAAAUUUCCGGGAUGAAAGGCCAUAAGGGUCAAUUCCCGACGGGCGAAUGGAUAGAUAUGUACGACGUCACAGCGGUUGGCCAAAACCUCUACUUCACAUUUGCUACUGCAAAUGCAACGGUUGAUAUAUCGUUUUUUGAGGAGAUUAAGACUUGCACAUAUGGUCCUCUUCUUCCUGCUGAUUAGUCUAACGAACUCAUCUCUCAGCUUCCAAUCAGUGCAGAAUAAGUUGGUGAUCAUGGAUGUUUUGAGACUUUUGAAGUUGGGAAGUCUGGGGACAAAUAUAUAGCUUUUUCAAGUGCAUGUGUUGUAUGAAUAAAUUUGAGGUUAUAUAUGAACCUGUUUCGUUUUAAGAUUUCGGUUGUGUUGUAUGAAUAAAUUUUUUUUGGAAUGUUUGAUGGUGAAACUGAAACAAACAAAAAUAGAGGUGGGGCCGAAGGGGCUAGUCAGUUGAUGGAGUAUUGUAUUUGAUUUGAUUUACUUGAAUAUAAUAUUGAAAAUUACUGUAUUGUCCAAAAAAA